rnacentral:misc_RNA from 1 species
UUUUUUUAUGUAUGUUACAUCAGAACUUUUGCCCGUGUUGACCGAUUUCGACAAAUUUUCUUUUAAUUGAAAGGUGGUGUGUGCCAAUUGGUCCCAUUUAAAUUUAUUUGCGAUCUAACAACUACUUUUCGAGUUAUAUCUAAUAAUGCGUUUUUACUUGACGCUUUUUUUGUCGACCUACGUUGUAUUAUACCGCAUAACUUUCUACUGGGUGUACCGAUUUUGAUAAUUCUUUUUUUGUUGGAAAGGAGAUAUCCCUAGUUUAGUACCGUGAUAAGAAAACCAGGAUCUGAUGAUGGGAUCCCAGAGAAAUCGAGGGAAACUCUUGAAAAUCCG